rnacentral:lncRNA from 1 species
UUCUAGAGAGGAUUUCCGCAAGAACUCUCUUUUGGACCUCAUCAACGUCGGUUGUGACCUCUUCAAUGAACUGAAGAACCUUCUUGUUUUCCUCCGCAAUACUACCAUUAGGGGCCUUCAUUGGGAUCUUUGGUGCAUCAGGUAUUGUUCUUUCCAUCUUAAUAAAGACCUGGCUGAGUCAAUGAUUUUGUUACAAGGUGAACAAAAAAUGUUUAUUAGGUGUGUGGAGGAAGGUUGAGGUGGCUUUAUACGGAGGACGUUUUGGAUCAGGUAUUGUUCUUUCCAUCUUAAUAAAGACCUGGCUGAGUCAAUUAUUUUGUUACAAGGUGAACAAAAAAUGUUUAUUAGGUGUGUGGAGGAAGGUUGAGGUGGCUUUAUACAGAGGACGUUUUGGACGACGUUAAAAUCAGAAACGGAUGGAGUGUAUUGACUACGGGUUGAACUGAAUCCAGUGUUUACUUGUAAAUAUAUCACGUGCGUCUUUUGGAAACUUCUCUGAUAGUUCAAAAAUAUGUUCCAUUGACCUUCAAAGAUCUACCACUUCAUGGCUACAUAAAUUUCCUUUUUGAUAAGUGUGACUUAUGGGCACAGAUGAGCUCAUACAUGUUGUGCUCUUACCAGUACACUAGAGCCAUCCCAACAUUUACCCUCGAAAAUCACUUGAUUAUCAAAAAGAAAAAAGAUAUGCACAAAUCAACAUAGAAUAAAAAAAUAACAUGGCCUUAUCAUCACACCACUACCAAUAGUUGCUAUUAUAGUAUUUCCUAUGUUUAAUUCCUUAUACAUUAUGUAGCUUUCCAGACAGUGACAGAGCAUCUUCAUCAUGUUCUUCAUUUUUUAUACAUUAUGUUACUUUCCUGACGGAUCCUCAUCACCUUGUGUUUCAUUUGUUUUUACAAAUUUCAUCCGCCACUAUUUUGUCUUACAUAAUAAUUCCUUCUUUAAAAUGCAUCUGUAGAGUAAUUGAUCUGUUUUGAUAUUUCUACAUAGCAACUUGACAUACCUUACCAAACUAUGUUUGAAUGCAUAUUGUUUGUUGCUUUUCAGUACAAAUAUUAUAUUUAGUGUCUAGUGGUUCAUAUCAUUUAUUUAAUUAAAUUUAGCCACAAUUAUUUUUAUUAAAUAAAUUUAUAUAUCAUAUUGAGGAUCACAUAAGGAAAUUAUAGACAUUAGAUAAGGACUAAUGUCUAGGUGAUCUAUAGUUUUAUUUAAUUGAAACUUAGUCACAACAUCUUUAUUUUUUUUUCUUUUUUUAGAUAACCGUGCUGUCCGGGCCAGCUUACGCGCUCCUUGACUAAUUUCACGGGAUACCUGCCACCUCCCACCAGCACAACAGGUACCAGGUAAUUCUAUCCACAAAGGCUAGAAUAGAUGGAAUAAAUCACCUAGCGUUUGUCUCUGUUAGGAAUUGAACCUGAGACCUCAGAUGCUCAACCCAACUUCAUUGAACCACAUGGCCACACCCUUGGGUGCUAGUCACAACAUCUUCAAUUGAACAAAAAUUUUAAAGUUAAGGAUCACACAAGAAAUUUUGGACAUUAGAAUUGUUGAUUAAUUAUGCACUAUGUAAUAACUCAAGAAUCUUUAUUAUUGGGUUGCAUAAUUAAUUAGAAUAAUCUAACAAAGAUUCAAUAAAGAGGAAAACGCAACUCAAAAGAAUAUUGAAAAGAUCAGGUCCACCCUAUAAAAGAACUUUUGUUCAGAUAUAUAUCAAAGGAAAACUUUGUCCUCAGGAUCUUUCUCCCUGAAGAAAGGACAUUAAUAGCUGUUUAGGUAUAACCUAACGUCCAACUAUGAUGACAAUGGUCAAAGCCAUUGAUUAAAAAUAUUUUUACCUAUCAAAUUAUCACCAAUUAUUUAUCAAAAUCUAUCUCAGUUAUCAAUUGUUUGCUUUUUCCACGUGAAAUAUGAUGACUUCAGGUAGGAGAGAAGUGAACACUUGAUAGUUAAGGUGUUGUUUGAUAAAUAGUUGGUGACACUUCAUGUAGAAAACGUACUCACCUGAUCGUUCAGGUAUGUAACUCAAAAGACCUGAAUACGUGAGGUGUGUUUUUGAUUCUAGGGAGCAUCAAGGUUCAAAAAACACACCUAACGUAUCCCUAUAUUUUGAUUUUCAUACUUGAAUUAUUCGGUGUGCAAGUUUCCCACUUGUAUUAACACUAACUAUUUAGUUGUGUUUUUGACUAUUAACUCUUCUAGCUAAGAUAAACAAUGUGUGAGUGCUACAACAUAGACAUCUUCGUUCCUCUUCCCGUCGUAGAAGCCUAGCUCCAUCACAAAUAGUAGUGACCAACAAACAUAAACGAGAAUGUUUAAAAUUAGAGAAACACCGACUAUUAAUCAAAACACACCUCAACUAUUAAUUGUUCACUUUUCCUACUUGCAAUAACACCAUCAUAGGUGAUACGAGCCAAAUGGCCAACUUAGAUUUUGAUGACAUCUUUGGAGGCCAACACGUAGAGACUCAAGACUUGGUCACCUCGAAUAUACAGGAACAAGCAAGGAGGACCGGUUUUGAGCAUGCCAUUAAGCAAGGUUGUGUGUGGAAGAUUGCUUGGAGCAUUAAAGACUUGAGGACUCACGGUUUUGGACCACACUUAAAUGACUCAUGGUUUUUGAAGCAUUGAAGAGCCUUAAAACACUCCAAAACCGCCACUCUACUUAAGGGUGUUUUGGUCAUUUUGUGCCCUUUCCUUACACUCCAUAGGAGUUCCUUUCAUUAAGGGCAUUAGGGUCAUUUUGUCUUCAUUUUGUAAUAGCUAUAUGUAGGCUCUUUAGGGUUUAUUUCAUACUUGGUUAUUUAUUGAUGGAAAACUUUGAAACAUUGUAACACCUAAUUCUCUCUAGGUUUUGAGAGUGAAACACCUUAGUUGUAGGGCUUGGAAAAGCCAAAACCGAAAUGAGGGCUGUUUCAAGUGUGGAUUUACUUGAGUUGCAACUUGGCUUGAAACGUUGGUGCUUGAGGAGGUAACGUCCCUCUUGUGUCAUUGUAAGGGUUUUGGUGAUUGUUUUUGUAGGUGUUAGAGGUCCUUAGAUUUGAUACAUCUUAGGGUUUCUAAUGUUUAUGUAAGCAUUUGUCUAACCAUCUAUCCUUUAAUAUAUUGCAAAUCGUUUGUGUUUUGUGCUUCUCUUAUUGUUGCCGUUUUAUGUCUUGUUCUUUGUGGACUGUUUUGUGUCCUUUGUGAGCUGUCUUGUAUCAGUAGGUAAGAUAAAUGAACAAUUGAUAGUUGAGGUAUGUUUUCAUAAAUAGUUGGUGAUAGUUUACGUAGGAAACUUGAACGCCUAAUAGUUUAGGUAUGAAACUUAAAAAAUGGGGAUAUUUUUAGUGUGUUUUUGACCAUUUAACUCUUACAAUUAUUUAACUUACUUUAAUUAUUUUCUUGGCUAAUGCCAGACUUCUCUAAAGUUGAGGUUCUCAAAGUCUAACACCUCUACCUACACAAACAUGAAAAUCUCUAAUAUGAUAAGUUAGUAUGAUACAUAUUCUUUAUCAAAGUUACCAUUCUAAGAAAAAAUAAUAUUUCCUUUAUCUGCUUUGUUAUUAUUAAUACGCCUACUCAUCAUUUGCAGGGGCUAAGAUCAAGUCUUCUUACCGUGACGUCCAAUUCUGAAGUUGCUCAUGUCAAACAUGAUUAUGUUAUUUGCACUAGCUUGUUCAAUAUAAUCGGACACCCUUCUGUCUGCGCGAAACAAAAAGUUAAAGAGUAGCUAGAAUUACAUCUUAGUCAAAUAAGAGGACUUGUUCUUAGUCCCUGCAAAUGAUGUGUAAGUCUAUUAAUAAGAUUAAAGCAGAUAAACAAAAUAUCCGAAGGGUGUUGAUAAGUUGUUAGGACAACAAAUUUUUGGCAGAUUGUAUUGGCAAAGCUGGUGCAAACAACAUAAUCAUAUGUGAUCUCCAUUGGAGGAAAUAAUCAGUUAUUCUGACAUAGGUGUGAACCACGGACUUAUAGAGGUAACUCGUGUUACAUUUUCCUUUUAUCAUAAAAUGCACCAGUUAAUAUUUGUAAGUUUUCUUACAUGACUGUCUUCUAUAUGUUGAAAAUUCAACAUGUUAUAGUUGAUUAUAUUGCCAUUAAGGAGAAAGGCUUUGACCUUAUGCGGUUGCUGUCUAUAUUGGCGAUAUUGUUAGGAUGGCAAUGUAUGCUGAAAAGUUUGGUCUAACUCUAGCUUUGAUGGAUCAUUUGUGCUGCGACUCUAGUAAAUGCUGUUCAUGAGCAAUUUUAGAAAGGGAUGUCCACGUCUUGAAGAGAAUUGAUUGGUGAUGUUUAAGGGAAAAUAACAGUCCUAGUCGAUAUAAGGAUUGUUUAAUUUCCAUUCUUAAAAAAUAACAUAAACAAAUCCUUCCCUAUAAGUUCCUUAAUUUAUAUUCUCUUGUAAAAUAUGAAAAAAAAGUCCAAUUUGCUCAAUUUAACUUUCUUGAGUUGCAAUUUUCGUAAGAAACUAGAGAACACAAUUGUCUGAGAUGAUUAUUAUGGAAAUACAGAAAUUGCAUACUGAUUGUCUUUAAUAUUCUUCUGAUUCGGAUAGAUAGUUUAUAGUAUUGUCUUGGGGUUGUAUUGUUUCCUAUAUUAGCUAGUAGUGUUAGUUUAUUUUGCAUAUUGUAUUAGUUUAUAUGCUUUAAUAUUUUUAUGUUUGUUAUACUGUUAUAUGUCUUGUGCUUGGGGGUCUAUCGGAAAUAACCUCUCUGCUUCACCUGAGGUAGUGGUAUGGUCUGCGUAUACUUUACCCUCCCCAGACCCCAUUAGGUGGGAAUAUACUGGGUAUGUUGUUGUUGUUGUUGUAUAGGAAGUCCAUUGCUUUUAAACCAUGGCUGUUCAUACUUCUUACUUUUUUUGCGGAGUUUCAGCCUUCUCUUUUCUGACAUACCUUGGCUCAAUCACAAGCCCACACGAGCACCACUUAUCCUUUAUCCUUCCAGAAUUGGAAAGGUUUGACAUCCAUACAUGCUGAAUGUCCUUUCUUGAUGUAACAAUGUAAGUUAAUGAGUUAAUGUUUUUUACAUAGUAACUAACUAGUUCAAACAAAUGCAAAAUUUUAACAAAGAUUGAGGCAUAAAUAUUUGUCAGAGUUUUCUGGUAACUUAGAGGAAGUUAUGUUUGAUUCUGAAUUUUAUUAUAUGAAUCACAUUAAACUAGAGAAAGUUGUGUUUAAUUUUUAAUUUUAUCUUUUUUUUUUUUCAAAAGUAUUUUGUUGAUGUUAUGUUUAUACUUUGUGUGUUCUUUGCCAAAAGUCUUAUUCCUAUUAAAGGAUUUUAUGUCUCUGUAGGUAGAAAUGUUAGAUUUAGAGAACCUCUGCCUUAAAGAAGUUCUCAUUCGCACCCCCCUCCCCCCCCCAACA